rnacentral:rRNA from 1 species
UUGGAGGGCAAGUCUGGUGCCAGCAGCCGCGGUAAUUCCAGCUCCAAUAGCGUAUAUUAAAGUUGUUGCAGUUAAAAAGCUCGUAGUUGAAUUUCGGGGUUAGUAGGUUGGUCAUGCCACUGGUAUGUACUGGUCUCACUGAUUCCUCCUUCCUGAUGAGCCGUAAUGCCAUUAAUUUGGUGUUGCGAGGAAUCUGGACUGUUACUUUGAAAAAAUUAGAGUGUUUAAAGCAAGCUAACGCUUGAAUACAUUAGCAUGGAAUAAUGAAAUAGGACGUUCGAUCCUAUUUUGUUGGUUUCUAGGAUUGACGUAAUGAUUAAUAGGGAUAGUUGGGGGCAUUAGUAUUCAAUUGUCAGAGGUGAAAUUCUUGGAUUUAUUGAAGACUAACUACUGCGAAAGCAUUUGCCAAGGAUGUCUUCAUUAAUCAAGAACGAAAGUUAGGGGAGCGAAGACGAUCAGAUACCGUCGUAGUCUUAACCAUAAACUAUGCCGACUAGGGAUCGGAUGAUGUUAAUUUUUUAAUGACUCAUUCGGCGCCUUACGGGAAAC